UGUGUGUGUGUGUGUGUAUCACGGAGUGGAGGUUUGCUACCUCAUUCGAACAGGAAAUGUUGUGUGGCAACUGUCUGAGGAAGCAGAUGCAAGAAUUUCUCGCCACUUA